AUAACUUAGUGGUAAAGUGCUUAUCUGGCUUGCAUGAGGCUCUGGGUUCGAUUCCCAGU
rnacentral:tRNA from 1 species